UUUGAUUCAUUCAAACUUGCCAUAAAAAAUGAGGAAUUUUGGCGGAGCUGCAUCAGACAUGGAGGAAGAGAAUCCAAAGCUCAACUCGGAGCGACGUUUGGCGUGUGGGCACUGCAUCAGACAUUGAGGAAGGUAAGUCCAUGUCGAACUUGGAUUUGAGGUAGUUAUGCACCGCUCUCACCCAGCUCCGAGUCCAUCUCGACGUCUCUGCACCUUGUCGGCCUUGGCGUCUGCUUAGGUGCGGAUGACGGCGAUCACCCCGCUGGCCUUUUCGCGAUGGCGAGCGUGUACAUGUGGACAGCGGCGAGCGGACAGCGGUCCAGGCUGCGAGUGCGCAUGGGCAAACGGACGGCAGCGAGCGCGCUUGAGUGAGUGGAUGGCGAGCGCUUGGUGAGCGGACAGCGAGCGCUCGUGGCGUGGGCGAAGGACGAACGACCGCACUUCCAUGCGAGCAUUCGAGUUGUGGUUGCGGCUUGGCUAUGGAUUUUUU
rnacentral:lncRNA from 1 species